UCAAGUAAUUGUGAUUUUAAGUGACAGUUACUGAGACUAUGUAGCAUUUGUGAUAAUAUAGACAUAAUAGAUUGCUUUUUAUGAUAAUAAACAAGAUUAAUGUCAAAAUUAGUUCUAAUAUAUAUGUUAUUUUCCUUCACAUGGUGUUCUGUUGUGCUUCAUAAAUAUAUCAUGAGAGUAUUGUGUUGAAUAAUCCGUUUCCUCCUCCAUAUAUAUAAAAAAUCAUUGAAAAUAUUUACUU